AUUGAACGCUGGCGGCAUGCUUUACACGUGCAAGUCGAACGGUAACAGGCCGCAAGGUGCUGGCGAGUGGCGCACGGGUGAGUAAUGCAUCGGAACGUGCCCAGUCGUGGGGGAUAACUACUCGAAAGAGUAGCUAAUACCGCAUACGAUCUAUGGAUGAAAGCGGGGGACCGUAAGGCCUCGCGCGAUUGGAGCGGCCGAUGUCAGAUUAGGUAGUUGGUGGGGUAAAGGCUCACCAAGCCAACGAUCUGUAGCUGGUCUGAGAGGACGACCAGCCACACUGGGACUGAGACACGGCCCAGACUCCUACGGGAGGCAGCAGUGGGGAAUUUUGGACAAUGGGCGCAAGCCUGAUCCAGCAAUGCCGCGUGCAGGAAGAAGGCCUUCGGGUUGUAAACUGCUUUUGUACGGAACGAAACGGCUCUGGUUAAUACCCGGGGCUAAUGACGGUACCGUAAGAAUAAGCACCGGCUAACUACGUG
rnacentral:rRNA from 1 species